UACAGAGGUCCCAAGCGUUGUUCGGAUUCACUGGGCGUAAAGGGUGCGUAGGCGGUCGGAUAAGUCUGACGUGAAAUCUCCGGGCCUAACCCCGGAAACUGCGUUGGAAACGUAUCUGGCUGAGAGAAUGGAGGGGGAAGACUGGGAAUACAUUGGUGUUGGGCAGUGAAAUGACGUAGAUAUCAAGUGGAACACCGGUGGCGAAGGCGGCUCACUGGCUCAUUUUCUGACGCUCAGGCGCGACAGCGUGGGGAUCAAACAGG
rnacentral:rRNA from 1 species